CGUCAAGUCCUCAUGGCCCUUAUGCCUAGGGCUGCACACGUCCUACAAUGCUGCACACAAAGGGAAGCUAGCCCGUGAGGGUACGCAAAUCCCAAAAAAUGCAGCCCAGUUCGGAUUGGAGUCUGCAAUUCGACUCCAUGAAGUCGGAUUCGCUAGUAAUCGCGGGUCAGAAUACCGCGGUGAAUGUGUUCCUGAGCCUU
rnacentral:rRNA from 1 species